GCGGGCGUAGCUCAGUAGGUAGAGCCCCGGCUUCCCAAGCCGGUUGUCGCGGGUUCGAGUCCCGUCGCCCGCU
rnacentral:tRNA from 1 species